rnacentral:rRNA from 1 species
CCCUUAGAUGUUCUGGGCCGCACGCGUGCUACACUGAGUCAAUCAAUGGGUAAGGGAACACGAAAGUGCAACCUAAUCUUCAAAUUUGCUCGUGAUGGGGAUCGACGGUUGCAAUUUUCCGUCGUGAACGAGGAAUACCUUGUAGGCGCGUGUCAUCAUCACGCGCCGAAUACGUCCCUGCCCUUUGUACACACCGCCCGUCGCUCCUACCGAUUGAGUGAUCCGGUGAGGCUCUGGGACCUGGACGGAAAGAGCGUUUCGCUUGUUCUGUUUGGGAAACUUGGUCGAACCUUAUCAUUUAGAGGAAGGAGAAGUCGUAACA